GGGCGAGUGGCGAAGCGGUAACGCUGCGGUCUGCAAAACCGUCAUUCACCGGUUCAAAUCCGGUCUCGCCCUCCA
rnacentral:tRNA from 1 species